GAUGUUGUAGCUGAGGUAUCCAGGGAUUUGCGAUAUGCUGCUGGCAACUUCUACAUCAAUGACAAGUCAACAGGCUCAGUUGUAGCCCAGCAGCCGUUUGGAGGUUCCCGAAUGUCUGGAACUAAUGACAAACCAGGCGGACCCCACAGCAUCCUUCGCUGGACGUCUCCACAGUCUGUCAAAGAGACGCAUGCUCCCCUGACCACGUGGCGAUAUCCUUAUAUGGGGUAGAAAUCCAAGCGUCUCACUUAACCUAAACCGAAUGUUUUUAUAAAAUCAGGCUCUUUAAUCUCUUAUUUUGAUUUUAAUAGUUGUGUAGCCACCAUUGUAAGCUAUUACACCAUAAGCUGAAGUUUGGGGUCGGUCGAAAGAGUCAGGUCGGCUUCCAGAGGAGCUCUUGAAAGAUCAUAUGGUUUAUUGUUUACAUUAAGGGUUAGAAAUUAAUUAUUUCUAAAGGUAUUAAGGUGAAUAAGGACAGCUUUCAACAAUUAUUCCUGCCUUUUUAAUAAUUUUUACAUUUGAUACAGCAUGAUGCUGUAAUUUUCUAUGGUUCUGUUAUGUCAAAAUGUCUCAAAAUGCUUUAGAGAUGGUAUCUAUCAUGUGCAGUGACUAAUUUUAAAUGUAAGACUUUAUUAAACGGUGUAGCUGUUUUGUUGCAAGUGCAAAACGAUUUUAUUGCAAGCAUGUUCGAGAAGUAAAGUUACUCAUUCAAAGCAAAAAUAACCUAUGACUGGAUUUCAUCUAUAAAUGAUUUGUUUAAUUUAUAAUACCAAAGCUGUGAGAAAUUAUAGGAAUGCACUAAUGAAAGCGCAUAAAUCAAUCCCAGGUUUAAAGCCUGUAUUGCAACAGUGUCAACAGCAGAGAUGUUGUUCUGACGACAAACAGCAUUCAAAGACAUUAAAUAACACAAUUCAUUACCUUUCUGUGUCCCAAUCAUUCAACAACAACAAAUUACACUCGUAUAACACCAUUUACUUCGGAAAGACACCCCCAUGAGUUCACUGUCAGGCCCAGGGUAAAGCUGGAUUUGCUUUUGGAAUCUCUAUGAAUAGGGUACAAAAGUUUAAAAAGAGAAAGCAAAUCUUCCAAAGUGCUGCAUGUAAUUGCUGCUGAGUCAGCAGGAUUCGAUCAUUGAUUUACUCUGAAUCACACAGCUCUUUGGGUGACUUGGUGCUUUGAAGAGAACCAUUUCAGCGCUUUGGAACGUCCUCCCGACGUGAAAGACGCUCUAUAAAUGUAAUUUUGUUGGUGUUAUGUUCUUAAGUACAACGACCCACCUUUUCACCAUUUCCUUCCAGUUUCUUUUUCAAUAACAUAUCCGCAGUUGAGAGCCCAAUCUCUGCACUAAUCUGUUAUGGAGACAGUGUGGAUAAUGGUCAUAAUGCAUUUUUAUUUAAUGCAUCGACUAUUGUACUAUUAUCCAAAAAUGUCAUCACAGGUAUUAAAGUGUGUUAGCCCUUCUCUCUUGCUAUGCAAUGUUCUACCAUAGUGUCUUGUAACUAUCUGAUUUUCAGCAUUAUCGGUGAUUCAUUCAGGAAAUUCAAGUGUCUUGUUCCAAUUUAUCUCUGUAUGAAGGAGCAAUUUGUGACAUUUCCCAAUCAAUGAUUGUUUAAAGACAACAAUAACUUGCAAAGGACAAUGUCUCGAAAGACUUUACAGUAACAGAUUUGAAUGCCAAGCUGGUGUGGAGGUGGUGUGGUUACUACAGGAGUGGUAAAGAGAUAGGUUUAAGGUGUGAUUUGAGGAUGGAGAUGACAAGGAAAGAGCGUUGAGGUUGGGGCUAUAAUGACUGAAUGGUGGUGUGGGGGUCGAUGAGCAGUAUAUCUGUGUUAUCUGACUUAUUUUGUGUAUCUUGUUUGAGACACAUCUAAAAGCAUUGCUGACCACUUGAUUUCAAAAAGAAUAUUUGUCUGCAAUACGGUUGAAUGUUGAGCUGAGAUUUUAAUACAUGCUAGGAAUUAAUUAAUUUACAAUUAAUUUAGAAGUGUUAGUUUCUAUUUUUUUAAAACAUGAUAAAACGAUUGUAAUUACGAGAACGAUUGUAAUAAGAAUUUGUAGCCAACUUGUGUUGCUGAAAUUAAAGAAUUUUAAAUAAAA